rnacentral:lncRNA from 1 species
GGAAACUGGACGUGAUGUGGAAUUAGAGCCUACCCAGCUGAAGCCACCCAACACUUACUACAAAUAUAGCCGCGAUGCGUAGGCCACAAAAUGGCUCCACUCACUUUUCCCAAUGAAAAGCAAAUGUCACCCCGAAUGACAGCAAAACACCGAGGGUAUCGUUGCGGGAUUUAGCAGUUUUAUCCCGGUGCGGGUGUCCUUCCUCCCUGUAAAGUCGUAAGUACCUUGAGGUGGGAGGAGUAAAUUCAGCCUGACACUGAGAGCGCUUUUGUUGAAACAGGAGAGACUUGCGGUGUCCCUACUUAAAUAUGACACAUGUGAGUAAUCUCUUCCUAUACAAUAUCGGAAUAGUCAAUUAGAUAUUUCUUUCUCGAGGGCUGGCGGGGAGGG